rnacentral:rRNA from 1 species
UACGGAGGGGGCUAGCGUUGUUCGGAAUUACUGGGCGUAAAGCGCGCGUAGGCGGAUCUGCAAGUCGGGGGUGAAAUCCCGAGGCUCAACCUCGGAACUGCCUUCGAUACUGCGGGUCUCGAGUCCGGGAGAGGUGAGUGGAAUUCCUAGUGUAGAGGUGAAAUUCGUAGAUAUUAGGAAGAACACCAGUGGCGAAGGCGGCUCACUGGCCCAUAACUGACGCUGAGGCACGAAAGCGUGGGGAGCAAACAGG